GGUUAAGCGACUAAGCGUACACGGUGGAUGCCCUGGCAGUCAGAGGCGAUGAAGGACGUGCUAAUCUGCGAAAAGCGUCGGUAAGGUGAUAUGAACCGUUAUAACCGGCGAUGUCCGAAUGGGGAAACCCAGUGCAAUUCGUUGCACUAUCGUUAACUGAAUACAUAGGUUAACGAGGCGAACCGGGGGAACUGAAACAUCUAAGUACCCCGAGGAAAAGAAAUCAACCGAGAUUCCCCCAGUAGCGGCGAGCGAACGGGGAGCAGCCCAGAGUCUGAAUCAGCUUGUGUGUUAGUGGAACGGUCUGGAAAGUCCGACGGUACAGGGUGAUAGUCCCGUACACCAAAAUGCACAGGUUGUGAACUCGAAGAGUAGGGCGGGACACGUGGUAUCCUGUCUGAAUAUGGGGGGACCAUCCUCCAAGGCUAAAUACUCCUGACUGACCGAUAGUGAACCAGUACCGUGAGGGAAAGGCGAAAAGAACCCCGGCGAGGGGAGUGAAAAAGAACCUGAAACCGUGUACGUACAAGCAGUGGGAGCACCUUCGGGUGUGACUGCGUACCUUUUGUAUAAUGGGUCAGCGACUUAUAUUCUGUAGCAAGGUUAACCGUAUAGGGGAGCCGCAGGGAAACCGAGUCUUAACUGGGCGUUAAGUUGCAGGGUAUAGACCCGAAACCCGGUGAUCUAGCCAUGGGCAGGUUGAAGGUUGGGUAACACUAACUGGAGGACCGAACCGACUAAUGUUGAAAAAUUAGCGGAUGACUUGUGGCUGGGGGUGAAAGGCCAAUCAAACCGGGAGAUAGCUGGUUCUCCCCGAAAGCUAUUUAGGUAGCGCCUCGUGAAUUCAUCUUCGGGGGUAGAGCACUGUUUCGGCUAGGGGGUCAUCCCGACUUACCAACCCGAUGCAAACUACGAAUACCGAAGAAUGUUAUCACGGGAGACACACGGCGGGUGCUAACGUCCGUCGUGAAGAGGGAAACAACCCAGACCGCCAGCUAAGGUCCCAAAGUCAUGGUUAAGUGGGAAACGAUGUGGGAAGGCACAGACAGCCAGGAUGUUGGCUUAGAAGCAGCCAUCAUUUAAAGAAAGCGUAAUAGCUCACUGGUCGAGUCGGCCUGCGCGGAAGAUGUAACGGGGCUAAACCAUGCACCGAAGCUGCGGCAGCGACACUAUGUGUUGUUGGGUAGGGGAGCGUUCUGUAAGCCUGCGAAGGUGGCCUGUGAGGGUUGCUGGAGGUAUCAGAAGUGCGAAUGCUGACAUAAGUAACGAUAAAGCGGGUGAAAAGCCCGCUCGCCGGAAGACCAAGGGUUCCUGUCCAACGUUAAUCGGGGCAGGGUGAGUCGACCCCUAAGGCGAGGCCGAAAGGCGUAGUCGAUGGGAAACAGGUUAAUAUUCCUGUACUUGGUGUUACUGCGAAGGGGGGACGGAGAAGGCUAUGUUAGCCGGGCGACGGUUGUCCCGGUUUAAGCAUGUAGGCGGAGGUUCCAGGUAAAUCCGGUACCUUUUAACGCUGAGGUGUGAUGACGAGGCACUACGGUGCUGAAGUAACAAAUGCCCUGCUUCCAGGAAAAGCCUCUAAGCAUCAGGUAACAUUAAAUCGUACCCCAAACCGACACAGGUGGUCAGGUAGAGAAUACCAAGGCGCUUGAGAGAACUCGGGUGAAGGAACUAGGCAAAAUGGUGCCGUAACUUCGGGAGAAGGCACGCUGGUGUGUAGGUGAAGUCCCUGCGGACGGAGCUGAGACCAGUCGAAGAUACCAGCUGGCUGCAACUGUUUAUUAAAAACACAGCACUGUGCAAACACGAAAGUGGACGUAUACGGUGUGACGCCUGCCCGGUGCCGGAAGGUUAAUUGAUGGGGUUAUCCGUAAGGAGAAGCUCUUGAUCGAAGCCCCGGUAAACGGCGGCCGUAACUAUAACGGUCCUAAGGUAGCGAAAUUCCUUGUCGGGUAAGUUCCGACCUGCACGAAUGGCGUAAUGAUGGCCAGGCUGUCUCCACCCGAGACUCAGUGAAAUUGAACUCGCUGUGAAGAUGCAGUGUACCCGCGGCAAGACGGAAAGACCCCGUGAACCUUUACUAUAGCUUGACACUGAACAUUGAGCCUUGAUGUGUAGGAUAGGUGGGAGGCUUUGAAGCGUGGACGCCAGUCUGCGUGGAGCCAACCUUGAAAUACCACCCUUUAAUGUUUGAUGUUCUAACGUUGGCCCGUAAUCCGGGUUGCGGACAGUGUCUGGUGGGUAGUUUGACUGGGGCGGUCUCCUCCCAAAGAGUAACGGAGGAGCACGAAGGUUAGCUAAUCCUGGUCGGACAUCAGGAGGUUAGUGCAAUGGCAUAAGCUAGCUUGACUGCGAGCGUGACGGCGCGAGCAGGUGCGAAAGCAGGUCAUAGUGAUCCGGUGGUUCUGAAUGGAAGGGCCAUCGCUCAACGGAUAAAAGGUACUCCGGGGAUAACAGGCUGAUACCGCCCAAGAGUUCAUAUCGACGGCGGUGUUUGGCACCUCGAUGUCGGCUCAUCACAUCCUGGGGCUGAAGUAGGUCCCAAGGGUAUGGCUGUUCGCCAUUUAAAGUGGUACGCGAGCUGGGUUUAGAACGUCGUGAGACAGUUCGGUCCCUAUCUGCCGUGGGCGCUGGAGAAUUGAGGGGGGCUGCUCCUAGUACGAGAGGACCGGAGUGGACGCAUCACUGGUGUUCGGGUUGUCAUGCCAAUGGCACUGCCCGGUAGCUAAAUGCGGAAGAGAUAAGUGCUGAAAGCAUCUAAGCACGAAACUUGCCCCGAGAUGAGUUCUCCCUGAGACUUUAAGUCUCCUGAAGGAACGUUGAAGACGACGACGUUGAUAGGCCGGGUGUGUAAGCGCAGCGAUGCGUUGAGCUAACCGGUACUAAUGAACCGUGAGGCUUAACCUU
rnacentral:rRNA from 1 species